GGAGGGUUCGCUCAGGUCUCCUGCUCUGCGCCCAGCAGCACGGGGUUUAGAGGCUGGAAAAAGUGAUUCAGAAAAAGAAGAAAAGUAGAAAAAGGAGAUAAUGAAGAAACAGCCGUUAUUCAGUCAUUUUUCUGCAGCUUUACCUGAAAGGAGAAUUGCUUCUAUGUGAUUCAUUACAAGAUACCAACAGCAUCAGCGUACUCCCAGGAAAGACAGUGCCCUCUGGAAAUAAUCAUACCAUCAGAAAUCGCCAACCACAUAAUGAAGUUAACAUCCAUGAAAGAAUCAACAGAUGCAACACAGGUACAGGAAAUUUGGACACACUGAGAGAAACCAAGGGUGUGCAAGCACAGAGGGAUGACCAUGUGAUGAUUCAGCAAGAGAGUGGCCAUCUGCAAGGCAAGAAGAGAGGCCUCAGAAGAAACCAAACCUGCCAGCACCUACCUCUUGGACUUCUAGCCUCCAGAACUUUGUGUGCUUAAUAAUGCAAGUGAUGGAGCAUUUUACUGAGUCUGGGCAGAGAUUUCAGCAUUCUCUAAAGAAAACCUACACCUA